UGUCUCUCAUCAGCGGACUCCCCUGCACGGCCCAGGACGAGGGUAAGGAGUUCCUGUGAGAGCUGGCUUCAGGGGAAUUAGCAACUCUGUUUAGGAGCGGGAAGAACCCUGGUAGCCGGAUCUGCCCCCCAGAAAUCUCCGCUUGUGCCCUAUCUCUGCAUGGUCCAGGCCCAGAGACGGAUCCCGGGAGCCUGGAUGCUGAGUCAGCAAGACAGAAUUGGCAAUGUUAUGCUGAAGUAAGAAACCGCUCCAGAUAUCUCAGUGGCUUGACGGUCUCUAAAUUCCAUAAAUCAAAGACUAUGUGGAUUUGUGCUCAAUAAAUGUUUACCCA